CCACGACGAAGCCACCACAAACUGGAGGCAUCUUGCCAAACAGGCUGAGGUUGUUCAUGUUGUUGAAAGUGGCUGGGCUGCCGAGAGGAUGAAGGCCACUGAAUCCAGUCUGGACACCAUGAACGAAGAGUCAUUGACUGGCACCUCUUCACUGUACUCCAGCACCUUCGCCCAAGUAAUCUCUGUCAACGUAGAAAAGCAGUACACGAGGGACUUUGCUGUAAAAUGCAAUUACACUUGACCCCCAGGAUCACACCCCAUAAGAUCGACUGGAUUGGAAUUUUCAAGGUUGGACGGAGUACAGCUGGAGAUUACCGCACGUUUGUUUGGGCUCCUGUCCCGAAGGAGGCUGGUCAGGUAGAACGCCAGCAGCAAGUAACGUUCGAAGUCUGCUUCCUCAGAAGUGAGUGCUCCUGCAUCAAAUGAAGCUGAUAGGAAGAAUACCUCCAGUCCGAGUUUACAGACACGCCAAGGAUCCUGCAGCUCGUCUGACGAAUCUGUAUCUGUGACACAAUCAGGAGAAUGGUACCAGGAGGACAGUGUCAAAAUCAAAAUGCAUUUCCUGCCACGGGGGAUCUCUGGACAUGUGUGAUAAACAAAACAAAAUGUCCUGUGAUGAAAUGAUUAAAAGGACUCAAGCAAAACUAAGCAAAGUGUCCAGUUCCACCAAACCACAAAUCAAAACCCCUUCCUCCAUUGCUGCUGAGAAGCCCAAGGCUAAACCACUUUCUCAA